GGGGGUCUGGGAGGGGAGGGCGCCCCCCCUUCCCGACGCUCCUACCUGUGAGGGCCGCGAGGCGAGCGCGGGGCGCCGGGUCCCGGGCCGCGGAGAAGCUGCCUCCGCCUCCCUGUCAGUCAGUCAGUGCCCGGGCGGGUGGGCGCUGGGGCGCCCGCGUCCCCGAGGCCGCCGCCGCCACCGCACAAACUUUGUGACCGUCCGGGGACGGCGCGGGGAGGAGGAGCCGAGGCCGACAGGUACACAGGUUUUGUACAUCUCCUGGGAGUUCCUGGCGGAACCAAAUGUUGGAUAAAUCUUUCCCAGUCCUCUGAAGAGUGAAGUAAGCAAUCACAACUCAGCAGUGGGCUCCAGAAGAAAAAGAGAGGAAUUACAGGCAAUGUCUCCUUUCUUAUUAUCAUUGAUGGGGGAUCAUGGAUUUAUAGUCAGUAAUUUUCAACAAUAGACUUUCUGGAAGCAAUGUUAAUUGAACUUACACAUCUAGAUGAACAUUAUCUUAUUCCAAACAGGCCUUAUGAUAGCCUGUAUUCUCUCUUCUACUCCAAGUAUU